rnacentral:sRNA from 1 species
UUCCUGAUCUUCAGUGAAAACGAGACGGA